rnacentral:lncRNA from 1 species
AGACGGGAGUGGCCCAGGAGGACUGAGCAGAGUUUGCAGAGGUGACAGAAGACAGCCUCGCGGCUGAGAGGGAGCUGACCAGGAGCUGGAAGCGUGCAGGUGGGGAGUUCCCGUCGUGGCGCAGUGGUUAACGAAUCCGAGUAGGAACCAUGAGGUUUCGGGUUCGAUCCCUGGCCUUGCUCAGUGGGCUAAGGAUCCGGCGUUGGCACGAGCUGUGGUGUAGGUCACAGACAGCUUGGAUCCCAUGUUGCUGUGGCUCUGGCAUAGGCUGGUGGCUACAGCUCUGAUUAGACCCCUAGCCUGGGAACCUCCGAUCCCAUGUUGCUGUGGCUCUGGCAUAGGCUGGAGACAGGGUUCUGCCAGCUCAGCCGAGCAUGGGCUGCAAAACGGGAGGACAGUGCUUCCCAGAGAAGGUGCUAGAGCAUGUCUGGCUGGGCGUGUCAGCUGACUCCAGCCACAUAACAAGUUACUCCAAACCUGGGCCACUCCAAUGCUGCUGCUCUCCCAUUGUCGGUGGGUCAGGAGUCUGGGCGCUGUCCCACUGGAUCUCUGGCUUCGGGGUCCCUCCCGGGCUGUGCCCCCGGUGUCCUUUGGGGCUGCUGUCUCAUCUGAGGGCUCCCUCCCCGUCACUGGCAGGAUUCAGCUCCUCCAGGGCUUUUGAACAGAGGGAGGGCCUCGGUCCCUCGCUGGAGGUUGGCUGGAGGCCUCACUCAGUCCGUGCCACGUGGUCCUCUCCCACGUGGCGGGUCCCACAAGGCCCUCUGCUUAUGCAAACGAGCAAGCCAAGGUCACAGAGUGUGUGUGGAGCAGAGAGGGAACCGCAGUCUUUUAGGCAAAUCUCACCGGUGACAUCCCAUCUCUUUUACCAUAUUCUGGUCCCUCGAGGGAGGUCCCCAGGCCCCGCCCACACGGAGGGGGCAUGGACCCCGGUGCGGGGAGAGGGUGGAGGCUGAUGGGGAGCCUGUCAAAGCUUCCCCCCAGCGGGAGAAGAGAUCCUCCGAGAGUGAGCUGCUGGUGUUUCUCUACCUGUGCCCUGCGAGUCCUCAAAAUAAAAUCAGGGGUGUUUCUGCAGAACCUGGGCUCACCAGAGAUGAGGGGCGUGUUGUGUCUGAGGUUGGGGUGCCUCCCGCGGGCCCCCCUGGGGCGGGGUUUCGGGAACUGGCUGCAGUGCUGGGAGCAAGGCGGGGCAGGGGGCACCCAUCCUGUUGCUGGAAAACAUCUCUGUGACCCCAGCCCUCGGCGCUGGCUGCAGUUAAGGCGAGAAGAGCCACUUGGCAGCAUCCUUCUGCUCUGCAGGUCCGGGGCUCUCUGGCGCCCUGGUCCAGGGCGCAGGGCUGGGACACCCCCAAGAAAGUGGCCCAGGUUGUCCAGGCCGCCUCCCCAUCAGUGCCCCUGGAACCCUGGCUGUCGGGGCCAGCUCCAUCUUUUGGGGUCUCCGUGCAAGAGCAGAGUCAACCUCGCCUUUCUUCGGGCCUCCCAGCCCAGCCCACUGCAGACGGUUCCAGGGGAUCCCAGCCUCCACCCCAGGACCCGCUGAGUUCCUGGGGUGUAAGAGGGACAGAUGGUCCCCAACACUGCCAUCUCAGGGCCCCGCUUCGACCCCCGUGGCCCCCAGGGGCCCGGGCCCUCACCAGUGGCCGUGGUGGAGGUGAUGACAGCAUGGGAGCCGCCCCACACCCCACGCACGCUGGCUGCUAAUCUGGGGCUGGGGGGCUGGACUGCUGCUCAGCCCAAGCUUCAAGCCCCCUGUCAUACUAUUGUCCCAUCUGACCUCACUUCGAAGACACAAAUCAAAAGAUGAAAUGAUGGGAGUUCCUAUCGUGGUGCAGCGGUUAACAAAUCUGACUGGUAUCCAUGAGGACGCAGGUUCGAUCCCUGGCCUUGCUCAGUGGAUUAAGGAUCCAGUGUUGCCGUGAGCUGUGACGUAGGUGCAGAUGCAGCUCGGAUCCUGCUUUGCUGUGGCUGUGGUGUAGACUAGCAGCGUAGCUCCGAUUCAACUCCUAGCCUGGAAACCUCCAUAUGCCACAGGUGCGUCCCUAAAAACCGAAAAAAAAAAAAAAAAAGAUUAAGAAUUUAAAGGCACUGACCACAGAGCGUUACAUUCCAAGCCCUAGACCCCUUGGAACGUGGGGCCCUGUUCUAGGGUCCUGCAGCCAGCGUAGCAAAUGACCACAGCUCGGUGGCUUAAAGCAACAGGCAUUUGUCCUCAGAAGUCCAGUAUCACGGAGCUGAAAUCAAGCUGGGCUGAGCCAGGAGGCUUGGGGUAGGGGAGGCUCUCUUGCAGCGUCUGGAGGCCUCUUGCAGCGUCUGAGGCUGCCCGCGCCCUUGGCUUGUGACCGCACGGCGCCAGUCUUCAGGGCCAGCAUCUGCACUUCUCUGCCCGCUCAUCUUCAUCUCCCCUCCGCGUGGCAGUGCCCUCCGCCCGCCUCUGGGGAGGCCGCGUGUGGUUGCGUUUAGACUUACCAGGGCCACGCGGGCUGCUCCCCCGAACCCAGAGCCUCAACCUCAUCGACCGGCAGAGGCUCCUUUUUUGCUCGCACCCCGCUAGCCGCACGCCCGAGAAGCAGCUCUGGUGCUUGUUCAGGGAUGGGUUAGACAUCGGAACCUCUGGCGGAUGUGUGUGAAGUCAGGACUCUGCUCGUGGAAGGCCUGGCUUCUGGAAGGUUCCAUGCUGCUGCUGGGAACCCUGCUCCAAGCCCCAGCUAUUCUGCUUGCUUCACGGCUGACCCAGGGGGGUGGGGUCAGACUGCUUAUUCCCAUGUCAAACCCCACAGGUUUUCGCGUGCGCUGCCCACUUGACUGUUGGUGGCUGUCACACUUCAGUGGGAUCCGUGAGGUAGCUGGGUCUCUGCCCCCCAGGGGUGCUGACCCUGGAGUGCGUGGCCAGGCCCUGGAAUCUGCAUAGUGACAAACACCACAGGGACAGUGUCCACGGGCGGGGGAAGGGGAGCCCCUAUUUUCUGAGGCCCCCAAGAGAGUGCAGUUGAAGCAGCGAGGCUGGGGGCACACCUGUGUCCCCAAGAGGACAUGCUCGUGGCAGCUGGGGUGUGGGAAACGAGGCCUCGCGGGGGCUGCGGAAGUGGGGAGAGGAGCUUCUGGUCCACGCAGGAGGAAGGCGGGGCCUCCCUGGGUCAUUGCUGGAGAGUGAUGUCACCCCGUCCCCAGCUGUCAUUCCCAAGCUCAUUCCCCCGGUUGCGUUUAGAGGGCCCUCUUUAAUCCUUGGCAUCAGUGACAGCAACGUGAUGGCACACGUCGGAUCCCAGGGGUCUGCACACUUCGCAGAGCCCGUAUCAAAUCGCUUCAACACACGCUUCCCAGAACACGUGUGUACCUGCUCCAUACGCGUGCCACUGCCCCAGCGGGCUGUGUACCUCUCCAGACUGACCCCAGAAUAGCAAUUUUAAAAGGAU